AGACUGAGGCAUCCGAUCAUGAAGCUUUAGAACAAGGUGGAAACUCUAGAAGAAGAAGCAGCCAAGGCUCAGCUAUUACAAGAUGAAGAGUGAUGAGCAAGAGAAGAUGUGAUCUACCUUGCAUCACAAGAAGGGGCCGAGAUCCAGAGUCUUUGUGUCCCUUACAUUGUUGGUAAGGCACAAAGACUCACUGGCCAAUCCCUAGGCCUUGGAGGCUUUACUCUUUUUCCCUCAUCAAGGUUUUGUCCCAAAGGGUUUUCCUUGGUGAGGUUUUUAAUGAGGAAGUUCUUCAAGGUUCCAAGCUUGACUUAGGAUCAGCUAAAGUCAAGCUUGAGGGGGAGUGUUGACUUGAAGAAAAGAAAUGGAGUGGUGAAGGGUUGAGUUGAGAUUGAGUCUUGAGCAAGAAUAGGGCAAGACCUCCGGAGAUUAUCUACGAAGACUUUAGGAGUGUAUGAAGGUGUCCAGAAGUGCUCAUAUGGCUGUGCAAAGAUAGGGCCAAGUCCAGGAGGGACUUAGAAGAGUGUUUGGGAGCAAAUGGGCAAGUGUGCAUACUUAGGGCGAGGCAGUACGGAUGGUACGGACCUGUACGGAUCCGUACGGACCGAGACAACCCGAGGAAACACAACUUGGCCAUUUGAGAUGUUUUGAGAUGGUGCAAAGUCCGGGACAAGAUGUGCAAACUUAGGGCGUGAUCAGAACAUGUCCGGGAGUCUGUGUGCAUACUUAGGGCUGAUAAAAAGAAGUCUGGUCGUGAAGCAUCAAAAGGGAAUCAAGAAGAUCCUUUGUGGAGGCAAGCGGCCAAUGAGAGCAAAGAUGGAGCUGAUUGGUUACUUUGGAGGAUGGACAGGCUGGCUUUGGCUGUAAAGCCAAAGGGAGCCACGACCAUGAACAUGGUCUGAAUGAAGGCUUGAUACAUGGGAGCCUAUAAGGAGCCAAUGGGAGAACAGCCUUCCCUUUGACCAGUUUGAAUCAACCAAUCAGAUAUCAUAUAGCUCUCAUCCAAUCAAGACAUUUCACACAGAUUGCAAUCUCAACUCUUCAUCCUAGCCAUCCAUUUAUAUUCAGUCAUUUCUAUCCACUAGAUUUAGGUUUAUGAGACUACAAAGUUGUAAACCUUAUAAAAGGAGGUGUGUGGCGAUUUUGUAAACCCUUAAGGGAGUUUGGGGGAUUUCCCCUCUCCACUUCAUAAUGAAAUGUGUUCUUGAAUCAGAUUCCCUUUAAUCUCUCCCUUUCUUAUACUCUUAAAUCUCUCAAAGUCUCUUGUUUCUGAUUUAAGUAAACACAUAAACACUCUUAUAAACUCUCUCUCUAAAAUCACCUAAAACAAACUCUAAUCUUCUCAGCUUGCUCCAUUGGAGCUUAUACACACACACAACCUGAGAUCUCUGAAAAUCUCAUUUGGUAUCAGAGCCAGGUUCAUCUGAAUCUGGUUGAAGCUUCCGCAAACCUCAGAGCUCACUACCAUGUCCAUUUCAACCAAGAAGAAGCUGUCUGUUCUAUCCGGCUGUUCAACACCUCAAGAGGCAGGCGUGUUCAUCCUGGAGUCCAGAAGCUGUCUGCUGCUGUUCCUCAACAUCCCAUGUCGCCCUUGAAGAAAGAAGAUCCAAGGAAACAAAGGCAAUGGAGCGGAUUAGCUACCCUCUCUAACAAAGCCAGUUCCUGGUUCUUGCUAUUCAAAGUCCAAGAAGAAGUUUCUCAAGAAGAAAGCUUGCUGCUUGUACUGGUGUGGCGUGUACAACAUGGAGAAAGGUGGGAGCUAAGACAUGGUGGUUCAAAAGGAAAGGUCCAUGGAAGAUGGAGGCGUUGGAGUGCACACUAACAACUCAGAAUCUGUCCAAUGGAAUCAAGGAUCUAUACAAAGGUCCUUGGCUGUAAGAAAGUUCUUUCCUUUUGUAUAAAGCUUGAGUAUAUUGACAGGUUGUGUUGUGAUUGAAAACUUGUGGAUGUUUAAAGAUUGCUAGAUAUGAAAUGUUUAGAAUCUGUCCCAAGAUACUAGAGAGUUGUGAAUGGUGAUUGAGAGUUGAGAAGCUUGCCUCGGUUCUAUAAUGAUUGUAUAGGAUACUAGAUGUGUCUGAUCCUGUUUACUUUCAUUGAUUGAAACCGAGUAGUAUAAUAAAGCUUAGAGUGUUGUUGCUGCCUUAGGUUGAUGCACUUGGAUUCAAGUCUAAGAUGCAGUUAAGGCAGAAGUUAAAAUUGCCUAAGUGUCUUGUAAUGAAUCUGUAGGAUCAUACUAGAACUUAGAGAGCUAAGCUUGUAAAGAUUUGAAACUUGGGUGUCUUGUUUGAUCUUGCAUUGCUUUAGUGAGACAUUGGUGUUCAAGCUUGAUGUGGAAUCAAGGACUGACCCAAUGCACCUAUGUCUAAUCUUCUCUGGAAGUUGAGUGGUGUUUCAGGUGCACAAGGAGUGUUCUUAGUUCUUCACCAAUCCAAGAGAAAGAGGAAGGCAUUGCCCAUUGUCAUGAGCAAUGGAGAGCGGUUACUGAAGUGGUUAUGAGCCACUGGUUAGUGAAGACUCACGGCUGCUCACUUCCAAGCUUGGACCCUCAUUCUAUCCAAGCUUGAGGAGGGGAGUUAAGUGAGCAGAAGAAGAAAGUUCCACAAGAGCAUUCCCUGAAGCUGGCGAGUUGAAGAAGUGCUGCAAGGGUCUGAUGGUGUGAUCAUGAAGCUGCUCUCCCAAGCUUGACUUGUUCCACAUGGUCAAUCUUGAGGGGGAGUGUUGAGAAGACUUCAAAUGAUCACAAAGGUGCCGGUUCAAGAAGGUGGACGGCAGUGAGCAAAUGUAGAGAAUCAAGAAGCUCUCCUUCCAAGCUUGACUUGUUCCACAUGGUCAAGCUUGAGGGGGAGUGUUGAGAAGGCUUCUUGACGAGAGCACUUGGCGGUUAUUCAAGAAGAGGAGCAUACCGGUUGGUGAAGCAAGAUGGAGGAUGGUGAAGCAAUCUCCAAGGCGGCCAGAGCAGAGCAGCCUUGGUACUACAGACUGAGGCAUCCGAUCAUGAAGCUUUAGAACAAGGUGGAAACUCUAGAAGAAGAAGCAGCCAAGGCUCAGCUAUUACAAGAUGAAGAGUGAUGAGCAAGAGAAGAUGUGAUCUACCUUGCAUCACAAGAAGGGGCCGAGAUCCAGAGUCUUUGUGUCCCUUACAUUGUUGGUAAGGCACAAAGACUCACUGGCCAAUCCCUAGGCCUUGGAGGCUUUACUCUUUUUCCCUCAUCAAGGUUUUGUCCCAAAGGGUUUUCCUUGGUGAGGUUUUUAAUGAGGAAGUUCUUCAAGGUUCCAAGCUUGACUUAGGAUCAGCUAAAGUCAAGCUUGAGGGGGAGUGUUGACUUGAAGAAAAGAAAUGGAGUGGUGAAGGGUUGAGUUGAGAUUGAGUCUUCAGCAAGAAUAGGGCAAGACCUCCGGAGAUUAUCUAUGAAGACUUUAGGAGUGUAUGAAGGUGUCCAGAAGUGCUCAUAUGGCUGUGCAAAGAUAGGGCCAAGUCCAGGAGGGCCUUAGAAGAGUGUUUGGGAGCAAAUGGGCAAGUGUGCAUACUUAGGGCGAGGCAGUACGGAUGGUACGGACCUGUACGGAUCCGUACGGACCGAGACAACCCGAGGAAACACAACUUGGCCAUUUGAGAUGUUUUGAGAUGGUGCAAAGUCCGGGACAAGAUGUGCAAACUUAGGGCGUGAUCAGAACAUGUCCGGGAGUCUGUGUGCAUACUUAGGGCUGAUAAAAAGAAGUCUGGUCGUGAAGCAUCAAAAGGGAAUCAAGAAGAUCCUUUGUGGAGGCAAGCGGCCAAUGAGAGCAAAGAUGGAGCUGAUUGGUUACUUUGGAGGAUGGACAGGCUGGCUUUGGCUGUAAAGCCAAAGGGAGCCACGACCAUGAACAUGGUCUGAAUGAAGGCUUGAUACAUGGGAGCCUAUAAGGAGCCAAUGGGAGAACAGUCUUCCCUUUGACCAGUUUGAAUCAACCAAUCAGAUAUCAUAUAGCUCUCAUCCAAUCAAGACAUUUCACACAGAUUGCAAUCUCAACUCUUCAUCCUAGCCAUCCAUUUAUAUUCAGUCAUUUCUAUCCAUUAGAUUUAGGUUUAUGAGACUACAAAGUUGUAAACCUUAUAAAAGGAGGUGUGUGGCGAUUUUGUAAACCCUUAAGGGAGUUUGGGGGAUUUCCCCUCUCCACUUCAUAAUGAAAUGUGUUCUUGAAUCAGAUUCCCUUUAAUCUCUCCCUUUCUUAUACUCUUAAAUCUCUCAAAGUCUCUUGUUUCUGAUUUAAGUAAACACAUAAACACUCUUAUAAACUCUCUCUCUAAAAUCACCUAAAACAAACUCUAAUCUUCUCAGCUUGCUCCAUUGGAGCUUAU
rnacentral:lncRNA from 1 species